rnacentral:rRNA from 1 species
GAUGAACGCUGGCGGCGUGCCUAAUACAUGCAAGUCGAGCGAACAGACGAGGAGCUUGCUCCUUCGACGUUAGCGGCGGACGGGUGAGUAACACGUAGGUAACCUACCUAUAAGACUGGGAUAACUUCGGGAAACCGGAGCUAAUACCGGAUAAUAUUUCGAACCGCAUGGUUCGAUAGUGAAAGAUGGCUUGCUUUCACUUAUAGAUGGACCUGCGCCGUAUUAGCUAGUUGGUAAGGUAACGGCUUACCAAGGCAACGAUACGUAGCCGACCUGAGAGGGUGAUCGGCCACACUGGAACUGAGACACGGUCCAGACUCCUACGGGAGGCAGCAGUAGGGAAUCUUCCGCAAUGGGCGAAAGCCUGACGGAGCAACGCCGCGUGAGUGAUGAAGGUCUUCGGAUCGUAAAACUCUGUUAUUAGGGAAGAACAAACGUGUAAGUAACUGUGCACGUCUUGACGGUACCUAAUCAGAAAGCCACGGCUAACUACGUG